rnacentral:rRNA from 1 species
UACGUAGGUGGCAAGCGUUGUUCGGAAUAACUGGGCGUAAAGGAUGCGUAGGCGGUUAAACAAGUUAUAUGUUAGAUAUAUAGGCUUAACCUGUAGAAAGCAUAUAAAACUGUUUAACUAGAGUGCAGGAGAGGUAAGUGGAAUUCCUAGUGUAGCGGUGAAAUGCGUAGAGAUUAGGAAGAACACCAGUGGCGAAGGCGACUUACUGGACUGUAACUGACGCUGAGGCAUGAGAGCAUGGGGAGCAAACAGG